rnacentral:rRNA from 1 species
GACGAACGCUGGCGGCGUGCUUAACACAUGCAAGUCGAACGGAAAGGCCCUGCUUGCAGGGUACUCGAGUGGCGAACGGGUGAGUAACACGUGGGUGAUCUGCCCUGCACUUCGGGAUAAGCCUGGGAAGCUGGGUCUAAUACCGGAUAGGAGCCAUUUUUAGUGUGAUGGUUGGAAAGUUUUUUCGGUGUAGGAUGAGCUCGCGGCCUAUCAGCUUGUUGGUGGGGUAAUGGCCUACCAAGGCGGCGACGGGCAGCCGGCCUGAGAGGGUGGACGGCCACAUUGGGACUGAGAUACGGCCCAGACUCCUACGGGAGGCAGCAGUGGGGAAUAUUGCACAAUGGGCGCAAGCCUGAUGCAGCGACGCCGCGUGGGGGAUGACGGCCUUCGGGUUGUAAACUCCUUUCGCUAGGGACGAAGCUUUUUGUGACGGUACCUAGAUAAGAAGCACCGGCUAACUACGUG